UACGGAGGGUGCGAGCGUUGUCCGGAAUCACUGGGCGUAAAGGGCGCGUAGGCGGCCUGAUAAGUAGGGGGUGAAAUCCUGCGGCUUAACCGCAGGGCUGCCUUCUAAACUGUCAGGCUCGAGCACAGUAGAGGCAGGUGGAAUUCCCGGUGUAGCGGUGGAAUGCGUAGAGAUCGGGAAGAACGCCAAGGGCGAAGGCACUCUGCUAGGCCUGAUUUCGCGACUGACACUCAGGGACGAGAGCCAGGGGAGCGAAUGGG
rnacentral:rRNA from 1 species